rnacentral:rRNA from 1 species
AGAAUCAACGCUGGCGGCGUGCCUAACACAUGCAAGUCGAACGAGAAAGUGGUAGCAAUACCAUGAGUAAAGUGGCGCACGGGUGAGUAACACGUGACUAACCUACCCUUGAGUGGGGGAUAACUGAGGGAACCUUAGCUAAUACCGCAUAAUACCCACGGGUCAAAGGAGCAAUUCGCUCGAGGAGGGGUCGCGGCCGAUUAGUUAGUUGGCAGGGUAAUGGCCUACCAAGACGAUGAUCGGUA